GCCCCCAUAACUCAAUGGUAGAGUAACUGCCUUUUAAGCAGCAAAUCCCCGUCCGACUCGGGGUGGGGGCA
rnacentral:tRNA from 1 species